rnacentral:rRNA from 1 species
AUUGAACGCUGGCGGCAGGCCUAACACAUGCAAGUCGAACGAGUGGCGGACGGGUGAGUAAUGUCUGGGAAACUGCCUGAUGGCGGGGGAUAACUACUGGAAACGGUAGCUAAUACCGCAUACCAUCAGAUGUACCCAUGUGGGAUUAGCUAUUUGGUGGGGUAACGGCUCACCAAGGCGACGAUCCCUAUCUGGUCUGAGAGUAUGACAAGCCACCCUGGAACUGAGACACGGGCCAGACUCCUACGGGAGGCAGCAGUGGGGAAUAUUGCACAAUGGGCGAAAGCAUGAUGCAGCCAUGCCGCGUGUAGGAAGAAGGCCUUCGGGUUGUAAAGUACUUUCAGCGGGGAGGCGUUACCCGCAGAAGAGGCAACGGCUAACGCCGUGCCAGCAGCCGCGGUAAUAC